UUUUUUAAUUUUUUUUAUUUUUAUUUAUUUUAUGAUAGAGAGAGAGAGAGAAGGCAGAGACAUAGGCAGAGGGAGAACCAGGCUCCAUGCACCGGGAGCCCGACGUGGGAUUCAAUCCGGGGUCUCCAGAAUCGCGCCCUGGGCCAAAGGCAGGCGCCAAACCGUGCGCCACCCAGGGAUCCCUGUUCAGAUACUCUUCACCAGAAAGUUCUGUUUCCCCGUUUCUCCAGGUUCUCUGCAGAAGGCAGUGAGACACUCCAGAGAAUGUUUGUGGAAAGGACGGACGAAUGAACACGGAAGCAGUGGGAGCGAGAGGACAGAGGGAAACCAAAAAGCCACCAGAGCAGGAAUUGUCGUAAACAACUUGUUCCUAGGACAUACCAAAGAGGGGAUGGAAAAAGAGUUCUGCAAGUCCACAUGUAUGCAUUUGGGCAAAACAAAGGAAGAUUUUGAAUUUUCACUCUGUUAUGCAUUCUCAGCAUCAGAUGGCAGGAUGGAGAAAUGGAGCAUGGGGCAAUGGGAGAGUUUCUUAGCCUCAGCACUAUUGACAUUUUGAGCUGGAUAAUUCUCUGUCGUGGUGCAGAUCUGUGCGUUGUCAGACGUUUAGUGUCAGUAGCCACUCUUUCCCAGUGGUGACACGGGGGUAAGCUGACCCCUGGGAGUAGUUUGAGGAUCACAGGUCUCUACCAAAGUCACAGAUUUGGUUAUGGGGAAACCAAAAGCAAAAACAUUUUCCAGCUUUCAACUAGCGCAAGCAAACAUUGCCUUGAGAGCCGAAAGGAAUUAUUUAGAAGCUACCAGCAUUUCUCCUAUGGCUUAUGGUCCCUGAGUUCCCCUAGCACCCUCUUUGAGAGGUCCAGGUACAGCUCUUGUCCACAAUACAUUCUAUUGAUGGGAUCAUAAAUAAGUACCAGGAUUUAGUUAGCAAUGCUGGAAUUUACUCUGCGUUUGGAUGGCUUUUUAAAGGGACCCAGCAUCUCCAAUCAUUUAUAUCCUGGGGCCAAUCACCCGUUUUUUAGGACUCAUAAAGGCAUCACAGCGGGGCUUCUAUCAGUGCAACGAGGAGCCACGACAUGCUUGAAGGGUGUAAGUUUGUGUGCCGCAGGC